AGAGUUUUAAAAGAAUGCUGUAGCUGCAUAAGUCAGUCACAUGAACUAGACAGUAUUUCUUGAUCUGGAAACAGUUGAGCAGAUUCUGUACUACCUCUAAAACUUUGAAACCAUUACUACACUCUGAGACAUGUUGUAAGAGACAAAUGUCAAGGUUUUACAACCGUGCAUGACUCUUUUCAACAUUCUUGCUACCAGGGCCUUAGUCCUAUUCUUUUGAGUUUUGCUGUCAGUGAGAAGGUAACCUUGUGCCUUUCCUCUACAAAGAUGUCUAAUUAGAACUUUUUCUUUUCUGUGUCCAAUUGAGUGAAUACUUGAUGAUGCUAAAUUCCAGGUAAAAUACGUCUGGAGUUCAAAUAAAAUGUCUUAAUAGAGUAGGUUAGUGGGUGUAUGUUGACACUGUCGUCCUCUACAUUUAUUUUGAUGGACAAUAUGUGUCUCAAGCCAGCAGGGCAUCUCAGUUUCAACCUUUCAGUACAGAACAGUAUGACUUGGAAAUUUGUUUUGCUGCAUCUUUUUGUAUGACCAUACCUCUAAAUCGCUGAUUUGCAUCAAGGUUACAUUUUGUCAGAAGUUUUUGGCUUCUUGUCUUUUGCAUUUUUUCCUGAAGUAGCCUGAAGUUGAACAUAGGCCUGUAUUUGAGAUGACAUGAUGAGUCAGAACAUGCUCAGGUUGUGGAUAAAACAUCACUGUUGUUUGGUUUCUGUCACAAUGAGAGGAUGAAAAAUGGGAACACCACAUUGUAAAAACUAAACUUUUUUAUUCCUUUAAAAUUACUAAAAAGUAACUAUUUGAUAAUGACUUUUGGUAGAGCAAACAUUGUAUCUGAAGUGUGAAAGUUUGACAUACUGUACAUCAAACAACUCCUUUUGGUAUUUUUACACCUGGACCUAUUUUCAUCUAUUUAAUGUAACAAUCUGAAACGCUCAAGUCAGAUAACACUCGGAUUUCCCUCUGACAUCGAUGUCGUCAGUCAGUUACAUCUCUUGUCUUUCCAGCCUUUCCACCUGCCUGUCAGGUGUUAUAUUUGCUCCUCCCCUCAGGUUAUGGAGAGUUCUAGAAAUUGCUGCCAAUGACAGACAGUUUUAUGUGUCACACAGCAUCACCAGCCAAUGGCUGAUGAGUUCAUACAGAUUGCAUGGCACAAAUCAUGGGUCUCAUCACUCCACUAUGUGUGUAACUCCAGCCUUUCAACCAUGUCUCCUCUCCAUUUCUUUUAUGACAGCACCCUGGCUGUGUGUACAUGAACCAUUAUCUGUUCAUUAUAUUAGCUAAAAUAUAACCUAGAGAAAGCCUGUAUAUCUGCUUUGUAUAACCAACUCUUGUCAUUUUGUAUAACGCUUGACUCUUGAAUAAAAGGAUAAUGCAAUGAAAGAAAUAUUAAAAAAGUACACAGUUAAGACAUAUGACCUCUUGUAAUGCAACUUGAAAAGACAGGAAAGGUUUGUACUCUGUCCUUUUAUUUCUUUUAGGAAAGCUGAAUCUCAACAGCCGAUCUGGACCAGAUUGCUGUAGAAGUAUGUAGCUCUCUCCUGACUUAGACACACUUGAGCAUUUCUUCUGUACAUAGGUGCAUUUGAAGGUAAUGAAAAACAAAAUAGGCAGCAAACUUUAUAUGAGUUAAUGGAGAUAAUUUGAUCCAUGUGGGUUUUUAAAAUGUUGGGAGAUGUUUUUUGUUUUUGUUUUUCCAACCGAUGUAGCUAGCUGUAAAAUGAGAUAUAACUGCCUCCUGUUUGUCAUAGAAUUCACAAAUAAAUGUUUGUUGAAAUCAA
rnacentral:lncRNA from 1 species